AGGGUGGGGCAAGCGGCAGAGGCACGGAGGACGUGGCUGGGCGCCCCGGGCACGAGCAGGACCCGAGGCCAGGGGCCAGGGGCCCAGAAGGCCAUUUAAGAUGCUGUUAGCACGAAGAGUGGCGGAUCUCACUCACGUUCUGAAAACCAUUGGAGUUUCAAGCUCAAGUACUUUUUUUUUCCAAUCCAAAUUUAGGAAUUGCCUUUUAGAGUAGAAAACAGCACAGGGGCACUCCUUUUAUCCCACUUUUAAAGGAAGAUAUUUAAGCCACCCUCAUUGGAUCUGGAGACCCAUCCCUGCAGCUGGAAUCUAGAAACAGCCCACUGUAAACAAGUGAGAAACAAGAUACACUCUCACAGGGGUCAGGGUCCUGGGAUUGGAGUGUCCUUAGACAUACACUGAGCCCUGGUCUGUGCACAGAUCUUCCUUCUAAGGCUGUCAUGUUAUCAGAAGGGAGACUACCAACCCAGCUGAGACACUGUCACACUCCACAGAGUCACUAGUCAGACCCACAAGCUGCAUCAUGCCCUUUGAGUGAUAAAGGGACCCGUGUAAGUACCAUUACUUUAAGGCGAACCUAGACGGUCUUUGUUCCCUGUAGCUCUGCCCUGGCUCCAGGCGCUACUACUGACACUGUGAAAACAGCAGACAGACAAACCAAACUCUAUAGGAAAUACAACGACUCUCCGACUCUCCAAGGAAAAUGGUCUGGAAGCUGUUAGAGGGGUAUAGAAAGGCUCCUUGAAAUUUGAAGGUGCUUCACUCCUGGUAUAAACAGGAGCCUGCUCGCUUGUAGCUGUUGGGGCUACUGCAGGCCAGUGACACCAGCAGCCAGUGUUGGCGGAUCUCUUGGUUUCAGUUUCUAUUUGAGAAACAGAAGCUUUCCCUACAGGGUCAAGGGCUGGAGAUAAGGGAAUAGCUAUAAACUAACUUUUUCUUAAAAAGAGGCAAUGGGUGAUAAUCAGUAUUUGCAUUAAAUUCAUAAACAGUA
rnacentral:lncRNA from 1 species